rnacentral:tRNA from 1 species
CGGAAAUGUGCCUGAACCAAAGGAUUACUUUGAUAGAGUAAAAAAUAGGGGUUCAAAUCCCCUCAUUUCCCCUAGAAAG